rnacentral:tRNA from 1 species
UUAAUUGAAACCAAAAAGAGGUAAAUUAUUGUUAAUAAUUAAAAUGAGUUACAAAACUCCAAUUAAA